AUACGGAGGGUGCGAGCGUUACUCGGAAUCACUGGGCGUAAAGCGCGCGCAGGCGGCUAUUUAAGUUGGAUGUGAAAGCCUACGGCUCAACCGUAGAACUGCAUCCAAAACUAUUUAGCUAGAGUGUGGGAGAGGAAGAUGGAAUUAGUUGUGUAGGGGUAAAAUCCGUAGAGAUAACUAGGAAUACCAAAAGCGAAGGCAAUCUUCUGGAACACUACUGACGCUGAGGCGCGAAAGCGUGGGGAGCAAACGGGAUUAGAAACCCCAGUAGUCC
rnacentral:rRNA from 1 species